ACCCGCACAAGCAGCGGAGCGUGUGGUUUAAUUCGUUGCUACACGAAGAACCUUACCUGGGUUUGACAUAUAGGUUGUAGGGAACUGAAAAGGACCGACCUUCGGGAGCCUAUACAGGUGCUGCAUGGCUGUCGUCAGCUCGUGUCGUGAGAUGUUGGGUUAAGUCCCGCAACGAGCGCAACCCUUGCCUUUAGUUGCCAGCAGUUCGGCUGGGCACUCUAAAGGGACUGCCGGUGUCAAACCGGAGGAAGGUGGGAUGACGUCAAGUCCUCAUGGCCUCUAUGGCCAGGGCUACACACGUACUACAAUGGCCGGUACAAAGGGCAGCGACAUUGCGAGAUGGAGCGAAUCCCGAAAAGCCGGUCUCAGUCCGGAUUGGAGUCUGCAACUCGACUCCAUGAAGUUGGAAUCGCUAGUAAUCGUGGAUCAGCAUGCCACGGUGAAUACGUUCCCGGGCCUU
rnacentral:rRNA from 1 species